GUGCCAGCAGCCGCGGUAACCCCAGCGCCACAAGUGGGAACCAUGAUUAUUGGGUCUAAAGCAUCCGUAGCCUGUCUGUUAAAUGCCCUGUGAAAUCGUUCUGCCUAACAGGACGGCGUGCAGGGUAGACUGAUAGACUAGGGACCGGGCGAGGUAGGCGGUAUUCCGGGGGGAGCGGUAAAAUGUGAUAAUCCUCGGAGGACCACCGAUGGCGAAGGCAGCUUACCAGAACGGAUCCGACGGUGAGGGAUGAAAGCUAGGGGAGCGACCCGGAUUAGAUACCCGAGUAGUCCUAGCCGUAAACACUGUGUGCCAGAUGUUGCGUAAUCCCCGAGAUUGCGCAGUGUCGAAAUGAAGAUGUUAAGCGCACCACCUGGGAAGUACGGUUGCAAGGCUGAAACUUAAAGGAAUUGACGG
rnacentral:rRNA from 1 species